UACGAAGGGGGCUAGCGUUGCUCGGAAUUACUGGGCGUAAAGCGCACGUAGGCGGAUUGUUAAGUCGGGGGUGAAAUCCUGGAGCUCAACUCCAGAACUGCCUUCGAUACUGGCGAUCUCGAGUUCGGGAGAGGUGAGUGGAACUGCGAGCGUAGAGGUGAAAUUCGUAGAUAUUCGCAAGAACACCAGUGGCGAAGGCGGCUCACUGGCCCGAUACUGACGCUGAGGUGCGAAAGCGUGGGGAGCAAACAGG
rnacentral:rRNA from 1 species